rnacentral:lncRNA from 1 species
UUGAGCCCUCUCAUCACCAGUUAUCCAUGCUGCUGCAUAUAAACCCAGCUUAUUUAUUUAAACUGCUGCAUGGAUUCCCGCCGUGGAUAAUGCCUACCGAUGGGAAUUUAGGUGACAAAAAUUUUCAGUGGGGAAACCAGGGCACAGAGAGGUGCCACUAUGCACGUGAAGAAGUACCUGCUGAAGGGCCUGCAUCGGCUGCAGAAGGGCCCCGGCUACACGUACAAGGAGCUGCUGGUGUGGUACUGCGACAACACCAACACCCACGGCCCCAAGCGCAUCAUCUGUGAGGGGCCCAAGAAGAAAGCCAUGUGGUUCCUGCUCACC